AUUUACCCAUCACUGAGUCUCUGCUGUUUCCUCGCAUACAUUACCAUCAAUGCCCGGCCUGUGUGUAAGGCUGCAGCUGAGAGGACACCUCAGGAAGCUCACGGACAGACAGGAGCAGAGGAUGACCCAGCAGGGAGCUGUUCUUCAGGGUUACAACAAUGAGCUCGUUAAGUGUAUUGAAGACUUGUGUAUGCAAAAAGAGGAGCUGAACAAACAGAUCCAGCAAGCAGAAGAGGAGAAAAGCAGACUCCAGCAUGAAAUUCAAACCCUCAAUGAACAGUUGGAGGGGGUGUGUGAAAACCUGGCUCAGAAGGUAGCUUCGCGGAACGAGCUCGAUAAAAUUCUUGCUGAAACUGAAGCUGCUUACAUGAAGAUUUUGGAUAGUUCCAGAACUUUGCUUAGUGUCCUGAAGAAGGAAGUGGGAAGCUUAAAGCGUCCGCCAGAACUGAAAAGUAAUGUAACCUGAAGCUGUUAAAUGUCUGCACUUCCCAGUUCUAAAAUUCCACUAGAGCUUCAUUCAGAUCCAGAGCACUGGGAUCACUUCCUGAAUUAACAUCACGGUGUUUCCACCUGGCUUCCAAGUAACAGUGUGAAACUGAAGGAGAGGUGAUGAUUUCCCACCUUUAAAGCAAUGUUUCCUAAGCAUGAAAUUACCACAGACAACUCCAGUGAUCAGCUGGCUUUUCAAAACGUCGGACUAUUAACUCCUGCCAACUGCACUUGUGCAGAGCCACAACCUGCAAUUGCUGCUACCCAAUAAAUCCAGUUUUGGAAAUCAACCAAGGCUGACCAUAAGUCAGAACAACCUCCCUUAUAUUCCCUUUCUGGACUUCUAUUCUCCUAGCCAAACAAGUUGGCAGGUUCUGUUCUGAAGUGGCCAGCUCCAACAGGAGGCUACAGAGAGCGCUGUCCAGAGCAGCAGAGGAUCUGAGCAGAGCAGUGUCCUGAGAGAGCUGAUGCUUUGGCACUUUGCAAGCACGCAUCACUUCAACUCUGACGAGGGGAGAGCAGACUUAUAUGCUGUGAAGGAAUCCAAGGCAGAGCAGUGUCUGGUGCAGGCCUCCAUCACACAGAAGGAAAAGCAUGAAAGGACAGAAUUGCUGGCCUUGAUCUCAAUUGCUGGCAGAAGUAGCAAGUGAGAGGGCUUUUUAUUUUUUAAUUCCCUCCCCCCUACAUCAUUAUAGGUCUGAGUAUGGAAAGAAUUUUCUUUCUCUUUAAAGGUAUGAAUAAUAAUAAAUGGGAUAAUCUGAAAGAAAGAAAAGCCAGUUCCAUAAGGGAUGUGGGUAAAGCUGCCCCAUGGGAGCUCUAUUUUUUUCCCUUCAGUAAAAAAAGUCAUCAUGCAAAUUCUAAAAUCCAGCAGCCAUUGAAGGGGAAGGGGAAACAACAAAAUGCUGUGUUUGCCUGUAACUGUGGACCAAUUAUUCUUCCAAUAGCUGCAUUCAUAUGUGCAGUUCCCUGGUUACAAAGAAUGUGGAUUUUUGGCCUUGAGCCUGUUUAUCCAUUUUUUAUUUAUUUUAAGUGAGCUUGGUGAUGCAGUAGACUUAUUGGUGAUGAUUUAGAUAUGAAAUAAAUCCAUAGCUGUUAGUAAAACCAUGUAUUCUUAUAUUGGUGUAGCUGUGGAGCAUUACAAUGGCCAUUUUAACUUUACCAAUGUGUAUUUUAUAGUUCUAGAUGUUAGUGAAGUCAGCAGCAAGCAAACACAAUGAGGUGUGAGUUGGCUCCCAUGGACUUCAGUUAAAUCUUCCCUUGUUGCCUUGCAGGAACACUUUUGUUUUAAAUAACUUCUGCAUUUGGUUAUUUGGUGGGAAAUGCUUUAAAGAGGUCUGAGAUGUUUGUUCUGUCUAACAGCACGUGUCCUGAGUAAAGCAGCAUUAUUGCCUGAAGAAACUGUGGGUGCCCCAACCCUGGAGGCAUUCAAAGUCAGGCUGGACGGGGCCCUGGGCAGCUUGACCCACUGGGUGGCAGCCCUACCCAUGCCCAUGGCUGGGGUUUGAGUGGGCAUUAAGGUCCCUUCCAACCCAAGCUGUUCUGUGACUCUACCAAAGCACUUCUUGUUUCUGCCUCCCAUGGAGCUCUGGUCACUGCAAGCUUCUCCUUGUUUUGGGACCAUCUGUGCCUAUGGUUUGGACUCAGAUCAGAAAUGGAAGCUCUAAGAAAAAGUGGUUGGAUUUAAAUACGGCAAUAGGUAAUGGCUUGUCUUCUCAGCUUUACUGUUCAGAAGGGAGUUCUGAGGCACCAGGGCUACACAGGCAGAGAAUGUUUUGCUACAGUUGGACAUGAAGAAUCAUUUUCUCACAUUUUUCCAAGCUCUGUCUUUGAAUUCACCUGCCAGAUAUGUUAAGGACAGUAUUUGUUCUGAGCCAGGAACUCUCAGCUCAGCCAUCCCAACUCCUUAAUCCCACCUGACACUGGUGAGCAUGUGGGAUGAGGUGCUGCAGGGUGCUGGCAAGCACAGCAAUCUGGCAGUGAGAGCAAGACAGUGAUGCUGCAUGUAGUUGGGGCACACGGGCAGUCAGGGCAGCUGGGGGUCUCAUCUCUGUUUCUGCUCUGUCCCUCUUCCCCCUUGAGGUUGUAUCCUGCUCCCAGUAAAGGAACAGCUGAAAACACAAAAGCAGGGAAACAUGAAAGGCUCAGAAAUAAAAGGCAAAUAUGACUAAUUUUGGAUCUUUAUAAUGACUUAAAAGAUAGUCUCACAGUUUGUGUCUGGCCUGACGCAUGCUGUUUUGAAUGCUGGGUGCUGGUCAUGCUCUGAAGUCCCAGUGUUAUAUUUCCAUCAAACAAGAUGCCAUUCUGUUGGCUUUAUGAAGGGCACUCUUGCAGUCCAUGGUUGUAGGUGCUACAGCACACCCCUUACUUUCUGUCUAUGAACCCUUCAGCUCCCCCAUUAGUGGGGGCAGCUUUGGCAGCUUCAUUCAGUUCUGCAGCAGCUGUGGGUCUCAGUGGUGCUUCAGGCUGAAGAUGGGGCGGGGGCAUCUCCAAACAUCUCAAUGCAUUUAGCUCACUGAAAUCAACACAGGGAACACAGAGCUUUCUUUGGAGUCUGAAAGGCUGAAAAUAUGGACCCAACUUUGGCUGUGUGUGGGGCAGGAAUAAGAAGACAUCUUAGGACAAGUGGCAUCAGAAAAAAGGGAUAAGCUGUUGAGAACAUCCAUAGAGAUCAAGAAGAAUUUUCCUGAGAGGAGGAUGUCCCAAGGACUGCCAGAACUGCCCAUUUCAAAAAGUGUUUUGUAUUAAAAAAUAUCUGAACUCAGUGCAAAACUUAUCACAAUAGAAUAGAAGUAAUUAGGUCCUCAUCAGCAAAAUAGAGAUGAAUUUUUAUGCCAUUCCACAAUUACCCCUGACAAAUGUUUUUCAUUUGGCCAGAACAAUAGCAAGGAAGCUCUGUGGGUGUCAUAAUAAGAGAUCUAGACCUGAAUGAUUUGUUUCAGUCAUCACUGAGAGGGGACAAUAGGAGGGACCAGGAUGAAAACUUAGAAAACAAUGAAUGGGGCCGCUCAUAAUUUUGGCUCUCAUCUUUCAUUAAUAAAUCUCAUGGUAGUUUGUGGUUUUCUUGAAGCUCCAGCUCCCAGAUUCAUGGAGUAAAUAAGAACCUGCAUCGUCACUGCAGAAAAACAAGUUUCCAAUUUUCACCACUGCAAGAAAACUUAAACUAAUACAGGGCAAGAAAAGGAACCGCUUUCGGUUCUGAUCUGGAAUAACUCCUGGGGCUGAUGCAGAGCUGCCCUGCUGCCCUCCUGAAGUGGCAGUGGUGAGAAGCAUUGCCCACUGACCCCCAUGCCUUUGCCCUCCCGCCUCCCCUCCGGGGGAAGCUGCCAUUGUUCUCUUUUAUUUGCUCUCCUCUCUCUGUAAACCAGCAGGGCUGGAAGCAGAAGGACCCAGCUCUCCUCGUUAGAAUAAUUGGGCUGAUUUAUGAGCGUGAGAUGCAGCUCGCAGGCUGCAAUGUUACCAUUGAGUUGGGGUGCCCGCUGCCCACCUGGGCUCUCAAAUUUCUGCUUGUCUCACACAAAGAAAACACACAGGGAGAUACAGCUCCAGGAGCAAAUACAGUGCACUUCCCUGCGAGGUGUUUAUGGUCACCUCCACCAAAGAACUGUACCCAGCACAGCCCUCUGCUAACUGGAGGCCUUUGCAGUGCUGACAGAAGUUCGGUGUUACGAGGAUGUGAAUGGCUUCUGAAGAAGAAUAUUUUGAUGAUGAGCACGACCAUCAGAUCAAGGACACAAAGGCUGCAGUCCAACCUCCAGCAGUGAGAGAGCCCAGUUUUUCCCAAGCUUUUGAUGCUGGGAAUCCCACACAGAGAUGGAGCCUCUGCCUUUGCAAUCACUUUCCACUUCCAUGACGUUCUUUCGGGUUCAUCCUUUCAGUGCAAAAAGCCUUCCUUUCUGGGCCCUUGGUCCUAGAGAGUGCCUGAAAGUGAGUGAACCUUUAUGUCUCAUUUAGAGACCUUUCCACAUCUGGUGGUGGGAAAUGUGGAAAGAGCUGCUACCUGCACCACUGUCAUCAAAAGGCAGUCACACCAGACUGGACAUCUAACACUGACCUGUGGCAUGUGAUGGAGGACAAGAGUAAAAUUGCAGAGCAAGGCCUUGCUGUGGUGGAGGCCAGAAUGACUUGAUUAUGUUUAUUGUGGCAGAGAGGACUCAGGCUCAUUCUCGGGGAGGCAGAACCACCUCAAGGGGUUUCUUUCAAGAAGAAAUCUCUACAUGCCUGGAGCAAAACGUAGGCGAGAAGCAUGGAAUAAAGCCCUGUUAUAUGUCUUGAGCUUAAGGGCACCUGAGCAUCAUCGGUAUCUAAAUAAACAUUUGUCCAGAGAUGCAGCUAUCUUGCUGGGGUGAGCAGACUUGUAUCUUCUCAUCUAAGACAGCAGAAUCCGUGACCACUUCCAUUUCAAAACACACCAGAGAGUAUCUUCUGCUGUUUGUGCAACAGCCUAGAAGGUAAAGCUCAUGCUCUGGAAAAGAGAGAUCACUUUAAUUCCCUUCUCAGCUGAAAGGAUUUAAAUCAGUUGUUCCAAAGACAAGUGAGUCAGUAAGCUAUGAAAUGAUGUGGGUAGGGAAGAAAGUGCGCCUCUCUCUUUGAAGCUGGGUCACUAAAAGUCCAAGAGUGAGAUGGUGGAAGGGGAGGAAAUGUAAUAGAGUCUGCAGCCUACAAGUUGGGCACUUAGCUGUGAGUGUAAUACCAAAGCAAAAGAUGUACGGAAACUAGUCCCAUGCAAAAAUAUAAGGUAUGUUUCCGUGGCCUUUGGAGAUCAAAUGUGGGGUUGUUGUAUUUUGCAGAAAGGAAGCUCUUUGUUGAAAGAAAAUUCUAAAAGAUUAACAAUAUAGGAGGAUUUUAAAAACUUUUCAGAAGGCAGAAUGUAAAGUCUAACGCAGCUUUUUACUGCAGUGUUCACAAAGUUCUGAUCUACAGGUCCAGUUUUUAUGACUAUGUUCCCCUCCUGUUCCUUACAAACUCUGCAUCUGCAGUGCUGCAGCAUGUAGAGUCCUCAGAGCCCAUGGCAUAGCAGUUUCAUGAGCUGUUAGUCCAAGUUUUCAGGUUGCUGAAAGGCAAAGCUGAUGUAAAAUGAGCAGAUUUUAAGUCACGUGGGUUUUCAUUUGCAGCCCUCAAAACUUAGAAUUAAAAAGCCUGAGAAAUUAUUUCCAAAAAGACCGCAAUUAAAAAGUCAAGCUGGCUGAUUAUGGGGAAAAUGUUUAUACUUCCCUUGUGGAUCAAUGUUGCAUCUUCAGAAUUUGGAUGGUGUAUUUCUUAUGAAAACUGCAUGUACUUUGUCACUGAGACAUUCUCUCCUUGUCUGUGCCUUUAUGGCCAUGGCACUACUGAGCUGCUCCAGUGGUUCUCAGUUGUGUGCUACUAGUGAGCAGGGACAGGAGAACAGGAGGGUGCCAAGGACUCAUUUCUUUGAUGUCUGCCUGCCUUUGUACAGCUAUGAGCUCUGUCAGAGCUCACCCUUCCUGGGAGCCUCAGGGCACUUCUGGAAGUCUUCACAAUCUACUCCUUGAACUUCUGUAAUCAGCUAUGCUUUAUUCUCUUUUAAAAUGACAAGUGGGAAGUGAGUUGUCCUUUUCAAGCUUCCUCUGCCUGUUCCCUCUGAGGGAGGAGGGAGAGGCUCCAAAUUCCCACUGUUCCUCACAAGCUGAGAGUCAGGCAGCUCUUGGAACACGCAGGAUGCUCUACAUGAGGCCGUAUAAUACAACACUCACCAGUCACUCUGCUGGAAGCAGCAGGUCUGCUUUUUAAAUACAGGUUUUCUAAAUUGUGAGCAAUACAGGUGAUGUAGUAAUAAUACUGAAAGCUUGUUAUUUGCUUUAAAUUCUCAAUCACAGCUGCCAUAUGCCUGGGAAAAUUCAUUCUAGCUGAGUCUGGGUUAUGUGAUAAAGGACACAUCUGGAGCUGAGUCAGAGGCUCAUUUACUCUUUAUCUGUGGCAGAGGGAGCACCAUAAUGAAAGCAGUGACUGUGACUGCUCCCCUACAGAAGUGCCAACGUUAUUGUACUCACUGUAAAUUCAUGGGAAGGAAACUUCACAGGCUUUUUUUUAUUUUUAUUUUUCAGAAGUGCAGGCACAUUUGAACCAAGACAUUCCUGCUUCUCUCAGCUGCCAGGUCCUAAGCACAAGACGCAGUGUUUUUGUUACACUUGUUAUCAAAUACCUAGUGAAUAAUCAAAUUCCCUGCUCUGGUACAGCUGCGUCAUUAGGUAAAAGCAGGAAUUACUGAACUUCACCCUUGUCAGACAGCAUUUUCGCUCUCUGGCUGCAGAAAGCAGGUCUGCAGUGUGCACACAGCUGGACCAGCUCCCCAUGUCCUGCACAGCUCCUCUGAGCAGUGAAUCCUAUGCACAUUGCCAGCAGCAGGGAGCACCCAGCCAGAGGCCAUAGGCUGAUAUAACCUAUUCACAUGGCUUUUUCCAGUUUACUUUCUGAAACAGUGAACUUGAAAUCACAUGUGAAGAAAAAUAAGAAUAUUCUGUGUUGUCAAGGGGAACUUGGCCAGGGAGAAAGAAGCUGUAUCUGAUGCAGUGGGGUUGACCAUGGAGAAGAGUUUAAUAACAGUAUAAAUAUCUUAGACAGGCUCUAGAACCAAGUCACACACAAUAUUUCUUGUAUACAGUUAUUUUAGAUAAUGCCCUGAUUUUAAGGAGCCCCCUUUAAUCCCAUUUUCCCUAGGAAAUAAAGCCUCUGCGUCCUCACUGCC